AGAUGAGAUUUCCCAACUUCGGUUAUAAGAUCCCUCAAAGAUGAUGAGGUUAAUAGGUUCGAGGUGGAAGCAUGGUGACAUGUGGAGCUGACGAAUACUAAUCGAUCGAAGACUUAAUCAAAAUAAAUGUUUUGCGAAGCAAAAUCACUUUUACUUACUAUCUAGUUUUGAAUGUAUAAAUUACAUUCAUAUGUCUGGUGACUAUAGCAAGGAGGUCACACCUGUUCCCAUGCCGAACACAGAAGUUAAGCUCCUUAGCGUCGAUGGUAGUCGAACUUACGUUCCGCUAGAGUAGAACGUUGCCAGGCAUAAUAUUAAUCCACAGUAGCUCAGUGGUAGAGCUAUCGGCUGUUAACCGAUCGGUCGUAGGUUCGAGUCCUACCUGUGGAGCCAUGGCUCCUUGGUCAAGCGGUUAAGACACCGCCCUUUCACGGCGGUAACACGGGUUCGAG
rnacentral:rRNA from 1 species